GACAGAGGGUGCGAACGUUGUUCGGUGUCACUGGGCUUAGAGGGUGCGUAGGCGGCCCGAUUAGUGGGAGGUGAAAGCUCCGGGCUUAACCCGGAAAUUGCCUCCCAAACGGCCGGGCUUGAGGGCUGGAGGGGGAAGCGGAACGUCAUGUGUAGCGGUGAUAUGCGUUGAUAUAUGACGGAACGCCGACGGCGAAGGCAGCUUCCUGGCCAGCAUCUGACGCUGAGGCACGAAAGCGUGGGUAGCGAACGGGAUUAGAUACCCCAGUA
rnacentral:rRNA from 1 species